AGCUUUGCGCAGUGGCAGUAUCGUAGCCAAUGAGGUUUAUCCGAGGCACGAUUAUUGCUAAUUAAAAGAAACCCAAAAAACACUGUCUUGCAAAAAUCCACAUAUUCAGUUAAUGCACCUAUUGGACACUAAAAAGUUUUAAUAGUUCUAAGUUCCAGAAAUGGG
ensembl:snRNA U4 U4 spliceosomal RNA